rnacentral:rRNA from 1 species
CGUAGGUGAACCUGCGGAAGGAUCAUUACCGAGUGUAGGGUUCCUAGCGAGCCCAACCUCCCACCCGUGUUUACUGUACCUUAGUUGCUUCGGCGGGCCCGCCAUUCAUGGCCGCCGGGGGCUCUCAGCCCCGGGCCCGCGCCCGCCGGAGACACCACGAACUCUGUCUGAUCUAGUGAAGUCUGAGUUGAUUGUAUCGCAAUCAGUUAAAACUUUCAACAAUGGAUCUCUUGGUUCCGGCAUCGAUGAAGAACGCAGCGAAAUGCGAUAACUAGUGUGAAUUGCAGAAUUCCGUGAAUCAUCGAGUCUUUGAACGCACAUUGCGCCCCCUGGUAUUCCGGGGGGCAUGCCUGUCCGAGCGUCAUUGCUGCCCAUCAAGCACGGCUUGUGUGUUGGGUCGUCGUCCCCUCUCCGGGGGGGACGGGCCCCAAAGGCAGCGGCGGCACCGCGUCCGAUCCUCGAGCGUAUGGGGCUUUGUCACCCGCUCUGUAGGCCCGGCCGGCGCUUGCCGAACGCAAAUCAAUC